rnacentral:rRNA from 1 species
UACGUAGGGUGCAAGCGUUGUCCGGAAUUAUUGGGCGUAAAGAGCGUGUAGGCGGCCCGAUUAGUCCGCUGUGAAAGUCCAGGGCUCAACCCUGGAAUGCCGGUGGAUACUGUCGGGCUAGAGUCCGGAAGGGGCGAGUGGAAUUCCUGGUGUAGCGGUGAAAUGCGCAGAGUAUCAGGAGGAACACCAAUGGCGAAGGCAGCUCGCUGGGACGUGACUGACGCUGAGACGCGAAAGCGUGGGGAGCAAACAGG